rnacentral:tRNA from 1 species
UCCCUGGUGGCUCAACGGUAAAGAAUCUGCCUGCAAUGCAGGAGACCCAGGAGACGCAGGUUUGAUCCCUGGCUCGGGAA